AGCUCAGAGCCCAAGGAAGGCACUUUCCUGAAGGAUCCCACCCAGGAACAGAAGCAGGAACCACAUUUGGCCCAGGAGAGCUGAGGUUGUCCCACAGAAAUGUCCAAGAUGGAGCUCAGAGCCUGGGGAGGCACUUUCCUGAAGGAUCCCACCCAGGAAGAGAAGCAGGAACCACAUUUGGCCCAGGAGAGCUGAGGUUGUCCCACAGAAAUGUCCAAGAUGGAGCUCAGAGCCUGGGGAGGCACUUUCCUGAAGGAUCCCACCCAGGAGCAGAAGCAGGAACCACAUUUGGCCCAGGAGAGCUGAGGUUGUCCCACAGAAAUGUCCAAGAUGGAGCUCAGAGCCUGGGGAAGGCACUUUCCUGUAAGAUCCCAUCCAGGAACAGAAGCAGGAACCACAUUUGGCCUGGGAGAGCUGAGGUUGUCCCACAGAAAUGUCCAAGGAACUCAAUAAAAUGUGGGUAAUGUGGAGUCGCCGCUGAGGUGGAGUCACGGUGAGGAGGAGGAAAUGAAUGGAAUCACCAG